CCUACGGGAGGCAGCAGUAGGGAAUAUUGCUCAAUGGGGGAAACCCUGAAGCAGCAACGCCGCGUGGAGGAUGAAGGUUUUCGGAUUGUAAACUCCUUUUGUUAGAGAAGAUAAUGACGGUAUCUAACGAAUAAGCACCGGCUCACUACGUGACAGCAGCCGCGGUAAUACGGCGGGUGCAAGCGUUACUCGGAAUCACUGGGCGUAAAGAGGGCGUAGGCGGGAUAGCAAGUCAGAUGUGAAAUCCUAUGGCUUAACCAUAGAACUGCAUUUGAAACUGUUAUUCUAGAGUAUGGGAGAGGUAGGUGGAAUUCUUGGUGUAGGGGUGAAAUCCGUAGAUAUCAAGAGGAAUACUCAUUGCGAAGGCGACCGGCUAGAACAUAACUGACGCUGAGGCGCGAAAGCGUGGGGAGCAAACAGGAUUAGAUACCCGUGUAGUC
rnacentral:rRNA from 1 species